rnacentral:tRNA from 1 species
ACUUGGGUGGCUCAGUGGUUGAGCGUCUGACUUCAGCUCAGGUCACAAACCCAGGGUCCUGGGAUCAAGUUCCCAUCAGGUC